AGUUUGAUCCUGGCUCAGAUUGAACGCUGGCGGGAUGCUUUGCCACAUGCAAGUCGUGAACGGCAGCACGGAUCCCGGUCUGGUGGCGAGUGGCGAACGGGUGAGUAAUGUAUCGGAACGUGCCUAGUAGCGGGGGAUAACUACGCGAAAGCGUAGCCAUUACCGUACGACCCUUCGGGGGAAAGCGGGGACCUUCGGGCCUCGCACUAUUAGGAGCGGCCGAUAUCGGAUUAGCCAGUUGGUGUGGGUAACGGCUCACCAAGGCGAUUACGAUCCGUAGCUGGUUUGAGAGGACGACCAGCCACACUGGGACUGGGAGACGGCUCAGACUCUACGGGAGGUAGCAGUGGGGAAUUCUUGGACAAUGGGGGAAACCUGAUCCAGCUAUCCCGCGUGUGCGAUGAAGGCCUUCGGGUUGUAAAGCACUUUUGGCAGGAAAGAAACGGCACGGGAUAAUACCCCGUGCAACCGACGGUACCUGCAGAAUAAGCACCGGCUAACUACGUGCCGCCAGCAGCCGCGGUAAUGCUGUAGGGUGCAAGCGUUAAUCGGAAUUACUGGGGCGCAAGCGUGCGCAGGCGGUUCGGAAAGAAAGAUGUGAAAUCCCAGAGCUUAACUCUUUGAACCGCAUUUUUAACUACCGAGCUAGAGUGUCAGAGGGAGGUGAAUUCGCGUGUAGCAGUGAAUGCGUAGAUAUGCGGAGGAACACCGAUGGCGAAGGCAGCUCUCUGGGGGAUAACACCUCGACGCUCGAUGCACGAAAGCGUGGGGAGCAAACAGGAUUAGAUACUCCUGUACGCUCCAAACGAUGUCAACUAGCUGUUGGGGCCUCGGGCCUUGGUAGCGCAGCUAACGCGUGAAGUUGACCGCCUGGGGAGUACGAUCGCAAGAUUAAACCUCAAAGCGAAUUGACGGGGAUUCCGUACAAGCGGUGGAUGAUGGAUUAAUUCGAUGCAACGCGAAGAACCUUACCUAUCCCGACAUGUCUGGAAUCCCGAAGAGAUUUGGGAGUGCUCGCAAGAGAACCGGAACACAGGUGCUGUAUGGCUGUCGUCAGCUCGUGUCGAGACGUUGGGUUAAGUCCUGCAACGAGCGCAACCCUUGUCAUUAGUUGCUACAAAGGGCACUCUAAUGACUGUCGGUGACAAACCGGAGGAAGGUGGGAUGACGUCAAGUCCUCAUGGCCCUUAUGUGGUAGGAGCCAUUAUCGUCAUACAAUGGUCGGGACAGAGGGUCGCCAACCCGGCGAGGGGGAGCCAAUCCCAGAAACCCGAUCGUAGUCCGGAUCGCAGUCUGCACCUGACUGCGUGAAGUCGGAAUCGCUAGUAAUCGCGGAUCGUGGGUAUGUCGCGGUGAAUACGUUCCCGGUCUUGUACACACUGCCCGUCACACCAUGGGAGUGGGUUUUACCAGAAGUAGUUAGAAGCCUAACCGUAUGAGGGCGAUUACCACGGUAGGAUUCAUGACUGGGGUGAAGUCAACAAGGUAACU
rnacentral:rRNA from 1 species